rnacentral:rRNA from 1 species
GUGGGGAAUAUUGGACAAUGGGCGGAAGCCUGAUCCAGCCAUGCCGCGUGUGUGAAGAAGGCCUUUUGGUUGUAAAGCACUUUAAGCGAGGAGGAGGCUCCUUUAGUUAAUACCUAAAGUGAGUGGACGUUACUCGCAGAAUAAGCACCGGCUAACUCUGUGCCAGCAGCCGCGGUAAUACAGAGGGUGCGAGCGUUAAUCGGAUUUACUGGGCGUAAAGCGUGCGUAGGCGGCUUUUUAAGUCGGAUGUGAAAUCCCUGAGCUUAACUUAGGAAUUGCAUUCGAUACUGGAAAGCUAGAGUAUGGGAGAGGAUGGUAGAAUUCCAGGUGUAGCGGUGAAAUGCGUAGAGAUCUGGAGGAAUACCGAUGGCGAAGGCAGCCAUCUGGCCUAAUACUGACGCUGAGGUACGAAAGCAUGGGGAGCAAACAGGAUUAGAAACCCCUGUAGUCC